rnacentral:rRNA from 1 species
UACGGGGGGAGCAAGCGUUGUUCGGAUUUACUGGGCGUAAAGGGCGCGUAGGCGGCGUGGCAAGUCACUUGUGAAAUCUCCGGGCUUAACCCGGAACGGUCAAGUGAUACUGUCGUGCUAGAGUACAGAAGGGGCAACUGGAAUUCUCGGUGUAGCGGUGAAAUGCGUAGAUAUCGAGAGGAACACCUGCGGCGAAGGCGGGUUGCUGGGCUGAUACUGACGCUGAGGCGCGAAAGCCAGGGGAGCGAACGGG